CUUUGUUAUGACAUUUGCAAACACAAUAAACAUUUUGAACUGAUUAGUUCUUUUAGUUUAAUUGAAUAAAUAACUGAAUCCAAUCUUUGUGUCUUCCAAUGGAGCAGAAAUCUAAAAAUCAACUUUAUGUUAACUAUGGAGAAGAAGACCAGAUGGAAAUUUUUCCUUACAGAAUCAACAAAUGUAAAGUCUAUCUCACCUACAUUGGCUACUUCUUGACAUGUGGAGUUGUCAGACUUGUCUUAUACUGGCUCCCUUACUUAAUGCUGUGGGCAACUCAUUCCAAAUGUUCUCUUGCAAAAGCAGAGAAAAUACUUCUUGUGGUAAA
rnacentral:sRNA from 1 species